rnacentral:rRNA from 1 species
AACGAACGCUGGCGGCAUGCCUAACACAUGCAAGUCGAACGAAGGCUUCGGCCUUAGUGGCGCACGGGUGCGUAACGCGUGGGAAUCUGCCCUUGGGUUCGGGAUAACAGUGAGAAAUUACUGCUAAUACCGGAUGAUGACUUCGGUCCAAAGAUUUAUCGCCCAGGGAUGAGCCCGCGUAGGAUUAGCUAGUUGGUGGGGUAAAGGCCUACCAAGGCGACGAUCCUUAGCUGGUCUGAGAGGAUGAUCAGCCACACUGGGACUGAGACACGGCCCAGACUCCUACGGGAGGCAGCAGUGGGGAAUAUUGGACAAUGGGCGAAAGCCUGAUCCAGUAAUGCCGCGUGAGUGAUGAAGGCCUUAGGGUUGUAAAGCUCUUUUACCCGGGAAGAUAAUGACUGUACCGGGAGAAUAAGCUCCGGCUAACUCCGUGCCAGCCGCCGCAGUAAAAC